UACGUAGGUGGCAAGCGAUACUCGGAAUCACUAGGCGUAAAGCGCAGGUAGGCGGUUUGGUAAGUCUUUUGUGAAAGCUCCCGGCUCAACUGGGAGAGGUCAAGGGAAACUACCGGACUAGAGUGUGGUAGGGGAUACUGGAAUUCCUGGUGUAGCGGUGAAAUGCGCAGAUAUCAGGAGGAACACCGGUGGCGAAGGCGGUUCUCUGGGCCUUACCUGACGCUGAGGAGCGAAAGCAUGGGGAGCAAACAGG
rnacentral:rRNA from 1 species